GAUUAGGUAGGAAUACCCGCUGAACUUAAGCAUAUCAAUAAGCGGAGGAAAAGAAACCAACAGGGAUUGCCCUAGUAACGGCGAGUGAAGCGGCAACAGCUCAAAUUUGAAAUCUGGCCCUAGCGGUCCGAGUUGUAAUUUGUAGAGGAUGCUUUUGGUUAGGUGCCUUCUGAGUUCCCUGGAACGGGACGCCAGAGAGGGUGAGAGCCCCGUACGGUUGGACACCGAGCCUCUAUAUAGCUCCUUCGACGAGUCGAGUAGUUUGGGAAUGCUGCUCUAAAUGGGAGGUAAAUUUCUUCUAAAGCUAAAUACCGGCCAGAGACCGAUAGCGCACAAGUAGAGUGAUCGAAAGAUGAAAAGUACUUUGAAAAGAGGGUUAAAUAGCACGUGAAAUUGUUGAAAGGGAAGCGUUUGCGACCAGACUUUUUCCAGGCGGAUCAUCCGGUGUUCUCACCGGUGCACUUCGCCUGGUUUAGGCCAGCAUCGGUUCUCUUAGGGGGAUAAAGGCCUGGGGAACGUAGCUCCUUCGGGAGUGUUAUAGCCCCUAGCGUAAUACCCUUCGGGGGACCGAGGAACGCGCA
rnacentral:rRNA from 1 species